rnacentral:rRNA from 1 species
UACGUAGGGGGGCAAGCGUUUGUCCGGAAUCAUUGGGCGUAAAGCGCGCGUAGGCGGCCCGGUAAGUCCGUUGUAAAAGUCGAAGGCUCAACCUUCGAAAGCCGAUGGAUACUGCCGGGCUAGAGUCCGGAAGAGGCGAGUGGAAUUCCUGGUGUAGCGGUGGAAUGCGCAGAUAUCAGGAGGAACACCAAUAGCGAAGGCAGCUCGCUGGGACGUUACUGACACUGAGGCGCGAAAGCGUGGGGAGCGAACAGG